AUGGUUUCAAAUGGUUUAUCUUUCAGAAAAGAUAAACACUGACCUCAUUGAAGACUCUGGACUGAGAAGUAAACAGCUAUUAAUUCAGAAGGAACCCCUGUGGAUACCGAAGUUUGAGAAUGCUCAAGUGCCCUGUAGAAAAUGGCACGAGAUCAGUGCAUACUAUCAGCCUUCUGCAUCUACGGACUCCUGACCAUGGAUUGAAAUCAGUACAGGAAUCAAUAAAAUUUUUUCUAAAAAAUUCAACACACAACCAAACUUACAGAAACAUUUUGAAUAAAAUCAUGAUACUGAACACAAUAUGGAUGCAAUUUUGAAGGCUGUAAGAAGACCUGUGAGAAACAUCAGCAGCUGAAAGUCCAUCCGUAUCAGCAGAAAAAUGAAUUCAAACGAAACCAUAAAGGAUGCGGAAAACACUGCUUCACCCAGCAGUCUGAAAGGAUAUGAGAAGGCCCAUGAGGGCUGUGUAUGUCAAAAGAGAUAUUCCCUUGUGACAAAAACAUGUGAGAGAAACCCGUAAAAAGGAAAUAUGUGAAGUAUGCUGGGAAGCGUUCAAAGGCAAAGAUGAAAGUAAGCAAUACAUGAAAAUUCUUAAAGAGAUGUGUGUCAAUGUGCAAGAGGAGCCUGGCAAGCUGCACAACUUGCUUACUUUCCAGAGCCGUAUUC